rnacentral:lncRNA from 1 species
GGUGUUGCUCUGCCAGCUUCGUUGUUUUCUCCACCUCGACCUCGACCUCCACCUCCUGAUCCGUUUUCUACUCCUAUGAGUAUGGAUAAGUUUUAGUCAUGUAUGAUCGUCAUUUUUCUUGUCUCACACAUGUAAUCUCUUCUACUUUGUGCAGAAUCAAUCGGCGGCUUCAAACGAUCCUCAUGUUUCUCCAACUUGGUGAUGGUUCUCGAAAUCAGUCUAAUUGGCCAACUUGGUGAUGGUUCUCGAAAUCAGUCAAAUGAUUCUUUGUUGUGAAUUUGUUGUUAACCUGUUGUAAUCAGUGGUUUUUAGAACUGUUUGUAAACUUUGU